rnacentral:rRNA from 2 species
AAGGUUCCGUAGGUGAACCUGCGGAAGGAUCAUUG